rnacentral:RNase_P_RNA from 1 species
AAGGCGAGGUAAGAGCUCACCGGCGUGCGGGGAACCGCAUUGCCCUGCAAACCCUAUCCGGAGCAACACCGACCGGAGAGGAGCGAAAGCUCCGCGCUUGCUCGGCGUAAUUCUCUCCGACAGGUGGCUUGAGCGUAUCGGCAACGGUGCGCCUAGACAGAUAGUUGCCUUAAAAGACAAAACUCGGCUUACAGGCCUGCUCGCUUA